UUUGAAUUUAGUGAAAAAUUGGUAAUCAUCUUUUUGCUAGUUUCAAUCUAGUUCAGUAGCCUUGCAUAUUUGCUAAUUUAGCAGGUAUGCGGCGUCUGUUACACCUCGGGUUCGAGGCGUGAUAGAGAAAUGGUAUCAGAGACCUAGGUUUAAGAUCUUUAGAAACUUUUAAGGUAUAAGACUGUGAAAGCUUAUUAGGACGUGUGAGAAUGGGUAGAAGUAAGUGUAUAUUUGAAUUUGUUUCAUUAUUGCUUUGUAGUUUCGAUUAA
rnacentral:lncRNA from 1 species